AACCAAUUACAAGUUCCAGUUUUGACAUGUCAACUGGAUUUACUCAGCAAAAUUUUUUGGCGGAUCAUUCAUUUGGGCUAACAAAAUAUUUAAACGGCCCAAAUUAAGCAUAUAGCCUUCAUGUUUUUAUUGAUAUACUUUUCCCCUUUCUUCCACGAUCUGCAUCCCUAAUUGACUUCUUUAGACUCUAACCUCUAGAUGACGAUUCAUUCACUCUUCAGAUAUUCCUCCUUCGUUAUACAUACGAUCCGACUUACACGAUAUUUUUAAGUGUUGAUUUUGUCCGCGGAGAGGCUUCUCCGUCACUAGAUGAAACAGAUCUGAGCUUUGAGGUUAUAGAAAAUAUGGCGAGUUAAGAGGUUUCUACGAAAGGAAAUCAUCGUGGAGGAAUAGAGAACUUCUCCACCGCUUUCGCCGGCGGCGAGGCGGAGAUAACUCAGUCUAACCGCUCUGUGGGGGCUGAGCGUGUUGUCGACCCUGAAGCUGCUCUCUACAAAGAGCUCUGGCAUGCUUGUGCUGGUCCUCUCGUGACGGUCCCUCGACAAGAUGACCGUGUCUUCUACUUCCCUUAGGGACAUAUUGAGCAGGUGGAAGCAUCGAAAAACCAAGAUGGCGGAACAGUAGAUGCCUCUCUAUGAUCUUCCUUCGAAGAUCCUUUGUCGAGUCAUUAAUGUUGAUUUAAAGUGGUGCUUAUGCGCAGAUUACUCUUUUUCUGGAACCUAUUCAAGACGAGAAUGCAAUUGAGAAAGAGGCACCUCUUCCUCCGCCCCCCAGGUUCCAAGUGCAUUCUUUCUGCAAAACCUUGACUGCUUCGGACACAAGUACGCAUGGUGGAUUUUCUGUGCUUAGCCGACAUGCUGAUGAAUGUCUCCCGCCUCUGGAUAUGUCACUUCAGCCUCCUACUCAGGAGUUAGUAGCAAAAAAAUUGCAUGGAAAUGAGUGGCGUUUUAGACAUAUUUUCCGAGGUCAACAACGAAGGCAUUUGCUUCAGAGUGGGUGGAGCGUGUUUGUUAGUUCCAAGAGGCUGGUUGCAGGCGAUGCAUUUAUCUCUCUAAUUUUUGUUGGUUUUUGGUUCAUGGUAUUCUUGAUUUGUAUCUAUAUGUUUAGUUGAUCUGUAAUAUCUGGUUCUUCUGCAGGGGUGAGAAUGGGGAAUUACGUGUGGGUGUAAGGCGUGCAAUUCGACAACAGGGAAAUGCGAGAAGGAAGGCACACAGGUUACAAAGAGAACAGUUUCCUCUUCUUUGUUUCUUUACCAGGAGCGUUGAGAUCAUAUAUGAUGCAAUAUUACAUAUGGUAGCUCAGAAACAUUUCCAUGAGCUGAUCGAGAUACAAUGGUACCUACAGAUGAUGUGUGAAAAGCAACUAAAGUUACAAGAUACCAGGAGCUCUUCCUCAAUGCCUUAAUCAAAGCAAUGUAAUGGCAUGUUUACCGCAUCAAAAUUUGGUUUCAGGACAAACCGUGAACCAAACUGAAUCUGCUUUUAUAUCAGUGAAACUAAGUCCAUUUAACCUU